rnacentral:rRNA from 1 species
GACGAACGCUGGCGGCGUGCUUAACACAUGCAAGUCGAACGGAAAGGCCUUGUUUUUGUGCGGUGCUCGAGUGGCGAACGGGUGAGUAACACGUGAGUAACCUGCCCUUGACUUCGGGAUAACUUCAGGAAACACGGGUUAAUACCGGACAGGAGCUCUUGCUGCACGGUGUGGGUGGGAAAGUUUUGCCGGUUGGGGAUGGACUGGUGGCUUAUCAGCUUGUUGGUGGGGUAGUGGCUUACCAAGGCACUGAGGGGUAGCCGGACUGCGAGGGUGACCGGCCACAUUGGGACUGAGGUGCGACCCAGGCUCCAACGGGAGGCAGCGGUGGGAAAUAUUGCGCAAUAGGCGGCAGGCUGAUAGAACGGCGCCGCGUGCGGGAUGACGGCCUUCGGGUUGUAAACCGCUUUCGCCUGUGACGAAGCGUGAGUGACGGUAAUGGGUAAAGAAGCACCGGCUAACUACGUG